CCUUUGUUUAAAUAGCAUGUUUGCUCUUUUUAAAGGAGGGAAUUAAUGUUGAAGGACCUUGGACCUGGAGGAACAUACAAGAAAAGCAACGCUAGAGUGCCAUCUAGUGUCGACAACAUUUUUUAAUGCAGCAUAUCAAAGAAAGGAUGUGUAGAUGCAGCUGUGAUUAAUUAAACAUGUUUACGUGGAUAGGAAGAGGAUGGAGGAGACAUCCAAUCUAUGCAAAGUCCCACCCUCAGCACCUUGCCUCAGGUCUCCUGGUUUUGACCUCCAGCUCCUCUCCCAAAUGAGUUCCCUUCUAUCUGAGUGUGAAUUAGCUCUCCUCACUUGCCAACUUCCACUGCCCCAGCAUCCGCACAAAGGUUAACUUCUAUCUGCUCAAAGCCUGAACAUGUGACCACCGGCAUGCUGGUGCUCCAGAAGCUAAAGGAACAGUGCAGUGGAAUAAACACUUACUGUCACCCAUUCUCCUCCCCAACCUGGGCCCAGUCAAGGGCAUCACAUCCCACCAGGGCCUGUGCCCUGAGCUGUGACCAGGUGACCGGUGGCAAACAGAACUGUGGUGCAAGGCAUCACCAGAAUCAACGCAGGAGAUCAGGGACAGCAAAGAGCAGCUUCCGCUUAACCACCUGAACAAGAAUGUAAAACGGAAACAUCUGCUCUCCCACUGUGUCCUAGACCAAAGGAGGGGGAUUGCUGCUAGCUCUUAGGUUACAGUAAGGUUUCAUUUAAGUUUUCUUCAUAUUAAGGACAUGGUUACGUUGUUUUUAAAUGUCAGAAAACUCUAAACCAAAAGUACCCUCCAGUACUUCCUUUACUAUGUGCUUUCUUUACUACGAUCAGCAAUCAGUUCAGUUUUAUUGUUUUAGUUCAUGUAUUGAGUGAGGGUCGCAUCAUCCUUUGACAGACUGAACCCAGGGCUCUGUAUGAAUAUAACUUCCUUAAUCAGUUGCAGAUGGAGAAGUUUAGUUGACUAGUUACAUAGAGAAAGAGGCCAUGAGAGAGCCCUGACAUUCUUACUAAUGUUUGCAGCAGCUAGGGGAAUAAAAUGAAUAGAAAAAUCCUGGGUUUCAAUGUCCAACUCUCCUUGGAUUGGGAUGUCCAUUGGACUCUCUCCAUUUCACCAAGCACAUUGGUUACUUCUUGUGGGAGAGAACCCCGGAGAGAGCAGAAAUGAGAGGAUGGAGAAAGGAAGUGGAGAUAAUGCUCCAAAACAGUUUCUUCCAGAGAUUGGAGGCUAAUCUCCCCCAGAGAAACAGGAGGGAGAGAGAACAAGGUUCCCCCUGAAUGUUCUCUUUACUAACAGCUUUGCAAACUGUUUACAGACAGAAGAUACAAAUACUUAAACAAUUGGGAAAUACUAAUAGAGCAAACUAGUCUGAGAAAGACAAUGUCAUUGGGAGUCAUAUAGAGGGAAGAAUUUCAUAGAGAAGAUAAAAUUUGAGAUGACCUGGGAAAGACGGAGUAAGUUCAUCAAAUAUGAGGGGUUAUCAAGCACCAUCACGUAAGGCAGUGGGUGCUGGGCUCUAUAAACAGAGAUAAGUAAGUCACUAUCUCUAAGUUCUGGAAGCUCAUGGCCUGAGUCAGUGGCUUGCAAAUGUAGCUGUGCAUUAGAAUCAUCUGAGGGGAUUUUUAAAAAUACAUAUAAUCUUGAUUUAAUUUAUCUGGAGUAGAUUCUGGGUAUCAUCUUUUUAAACCUCAGGUAUAGGCAAAGAGUUCAUGAAGAAGACAAAAAAGAUAACCAUAAAAAAUUUGGACUUCAAUGAAGUCAAGAUUUUACAAUCAUUAAAGAGUUAAAAUACAAACCACAGACUGGAUGAAGAUAUAUAUUAGCAAUGAAUAUAUUCAAGAACUGGAAACAAUACAAAUGUCCCUCAAUAGGAGAAUAGGUAAAUAAAUUGUGGUACACUGAUACAAUACUACACACAAUAAAAGAAAAACUACCUACACACAGAACAAAAUGGGUGAAUCUCAAAUUUUACUGAGUGGAAGAAGCCAGAGACAGAAGAGUAUAUAUUGAAUAAUUAUUAAAAUUUCAACAGGUAAAUCUAAUCAUGGCAAUCCAAGUUAUCUUUUG